rnacentral:rRNA from 1 species
AUGCAGGAUCAUCUUCGAUACGGAAACGAUGAGAUGCUGGAGAUCUUGGAGUAUGGUUACCAUGUGGUUGAUCCAAAGAAUCCUACACCAAGAGAAAUUUAUGACAAGAAUCUCAAUGACACUGCAACCAUGUGUAUAAGGAGAGGUAUGGUUGAAAAGCAAAGGAGACCUUUCAUACACAUCACAAGUGCCAAGGAACUAUGGGAAAGUAUUAUAAGAUCCAAGACCGGUACCUCCACCCUCCGGAGUGCUCAAUAUGAAAUUGUCAAGGGGCAAUUGCAAAACUUUUGUAUGGAGAAAGGUGAAACUCCCAAUCAACUCCUUGAGCGUCUCAUGACUCUCACCGCUGACAUUGAGUCGUGUGAGUGUGACAAGACACAAAAUGGAUUCAACAUGACUAAGCGAUUCCUUGUGGACAAGUUGCUUCAUGCUCUUGCCCCAUAUCACCAUCAAAUGGUGUGGGACAUAAGACAACACCAUGCCUCCAACGCGACCUCGCCUCCGUCCCCUUCUUCCCUUAUAUGCACAUAA